ensembl:lncRNA
AAAUUUUUUUUUUAGUUGAGAGUCCAGGACGUCCUGCUGUAGGAUUUUAACAUCUCUGCUCCACUCAAACACCGGGUCACUUUGAUGUAGGUCAUGAGAUUCACUUCAGAUGUUUGCCAGACUGCAUUUAUAACCAUGAGAUCGCAUAAACAGCUGGACGUGUAUGUUUAAUUUAUAUCAGCCUGACAGGAAGCACACGGGACAAUUACUCCUGAUAACACACACACACAGAGCAUGGAUGGUUAGUAGGAUAAAUGAGCUGUCUGUGUGUGUCUUUUGUGGUGGAAAUAGUGAGGUAAAUUUCCCCCGUUUGAUUCAGGUUAAAGGAUACAGUCUCUGCUGCUAAGAUAAGAAUUGAAAUCCUGUUUUGCUUCAUAUCAACUCGCUAAACCAAAUGGGAACUCGCUGUGAUUUAUUAUUGCAGUGUUUUUCAACCUUGACUCAUAAAGUGUUUGUCGCAGCCCGUCCCGUCUCAUUUCUUUUUAGCUUAGCAGGAAAACAUGCUAACAGUCCCAAAGCAAUGUUUCAAAGCAGCCUGAACUCCGUGUCUCCUGACAGGAAAUGGGAAAAUAUGUAUGACUCACGCUGCACUACACUGAUUUUUGACCAAUCAAAUGCUCUCCCAAGUGAGAAUGCCCCUCCCCCUCCCCUGCCUAUAAGAAUCUAUUUCCAAAUCUGAUUCUACAGUCAAUUUUGUAUGAUAAACACUUUUGAUACAUUUUUGAGAUGCCAACUGAGGUCCAAGGUAAAAUCUGUGUCCUGUGUCCCUCCACUGCACUGGUUCUAUACCCUAAACUAUAAAUCUGUCACUGGACAUGGACCUUGUUUUAUUAAUAACCCCAGAUGAAGGCCCGUGAGCCAGGUUCAUCUGCUCAUACAUGGAAACUAUCUCAUCUGUGCGAUGGCAACAGGAAAUCAGCUCAUCCUGACAAAUGUUUUCUGUGCUGGAGAGCCGCUGAUCGGACUGAAGGAGAGCAGCUGUUCAUGCAGGACAGUGAUAGAGGAUCUCUGGAACUCAUCCGUAAAAAUGUUUUAUGAGAUGCAAAUGCUUUCCAGACUCUUAUUAAAAAGCUGAAGGGCAGGUCAAGGGCCUUAGGGCUUUUUCUCAAUAAUUCAUCCAUCCAAACGCUGCUGGUUCUUACACUUUAUUUUAGCAGAAUCGUGUUUUUGAAUUAUUGAUUUGUAUUUUUUUUUCGAUUAUUGAAUUAUUAUAAUUAAUGGAUUUAUUUUUUUUUUAUUUAUUAUNAUCAGAUGUGUGUUUUUUUCUUUUUUUUCUUCUUUUCAUUACAGAUUUGUGCAUUUAAAAUCUGCAGCCAAUUCCAGAAAACACAAUGUAAUGUCUGUUCUUUCAUUGGGUUCCAGUAAUUUUCUAAAAGUGGAAGCGGAUCUCCAUUCCCAGCCCUUCUCAGGAAAAAUCAUCAGUUGAGUCAGUGAGCAGAUAAGAGAGAAGCUUAUAACAGCUCAUAAAUUAAGUUCUAAUCUCACGUCACCGCUGUGAAUAUCCUCUUUGAAUCUUAUCAUUGUUUAUCUGAGAUGUCAUGUUAAAAUAAGCAGCAGUAACUCAUGUGAUCCCAGACGGCUUCAGUUCUGAACACACAAAACACAGAGACAGCAGAUCAAAUCAGUCCAGGUGUACGCAUGCUUUCUGUUUUGGGUUGUUUAUGGGCAUAAAACACUUCAUAUUUUCUGUCAGUAUCGAGGUUAUUUACAUAUACUGUACAGGAGAAGUCUUAAAGGUACAGUAGAAUAAAUAGCCUGUUUAAUUCA